rnacentral:tRNA from 1 species
GAUGGUAUAGCUCAAGUGGCAGAGUGCAUGCUUAGCAUGCACAAGGUCCUGGGUUCAAUCCCCAGUACCUCCU